GGAAAGAGACACAGGUUGUGUUUUUUUUUAACCAGACAAUGGGAGAGACAGACAAAUGUUUGUUUUGUUAAAUUGCCCGAAUUCAGUGAUCAAAGCGUAAGUCCCAACUGGAACUGGAUCAAUGAAUCGUUGGCCGUAAGUAUAAGUUGUUUAAGUUAAGUCCAGUUUAACUUAAUUUUUUUUUUUUGACAAAUAGCCUGUACAUCUACUGUUCAAAAAUGGUUGUCAAGUCCUUUCUCUACUGUUACGUCUUUAAUUGUAUAAAACACCACAUGGAUGUGUUUCCAGGGUUCACAGCUUCCUUUUGUGUCUCCCAGAAGUGGAUGUGCUUGUGCUUCAGAAUAACAGAGUUUUGUUGUCUUUUGUCUCAAUUUCAUGUUUUCACUCAUAUUGAAGAUUUAAAGUAUGAAGAAAGUGAGAAAGACCAAAGCUGUCAUGGAGAAACAAGUUUAUUUUUCUAUUGUUUGGACACUUACCUUUUGUGUAUUGUGUCUCUAACUCCGAACAAUCAUGCAGCGUACAUAAAGGUUUUGUUUUUUAUCCUCUCAGCAGUCAAACACCCCAGAGGACCUCUGACAAAUGAGAGAAUAGAGAAGUUUCUCUUCAAGGUUGGAUCACUUCAGCUGAAUACAGUUUGAUGUCUUUGGAGAAGUUGAAUAUUAAACGUGGAGGAAGAAUGACACGUGUGAAUAAAAGCUGAGAGCGCAGUAAGAGGAUCUUUUUGUCAGACACUAUCAUUGUGUGUUGGCCCUUUUCUCGUCCAUUCAGACUCUGAAGUGUUUGACAUAGAAACAUUUGUAUGAACCAGUCAGAAGUAUCUUAGUUUUAAACUCACUUCGACAAUGUCUCUCACUUAAGAAACUCUAACUGACUUCUCAGGUUACAGAUAUCACAAGCUUAAAUCAAACAUCCCCAGAAUCAUACGGCAGAGUGGUCUGGAAAGUUUCCUACAAAGAGAAUCAGGAUUUUUACUUUUUAGAAAGAAAACUGUAUAAUAUAUAUAAGAAAUAUCUAUUAAUGGGUUAAAGAAUAAAAAGGAGGUCAUCACUGUUUUUCUCACCGUGCUCUUAAAGAGGAAUCAAACAAAAGCUGACUAAAGAGGUGUCAUUAGUGAACAUGUCUGCUCAGUCUGUAUGAACACAGCUGUAAAGUUGAGCCGUCUCUCUCUGUGACAGAAUGAUGAGGCUGUGAAAUAGUAAUGCAAGUCCUGAAACCUGAAACCACAGUCUUUAGAGCUCCCCUGGUGGCCGGCUGUGGUUCAGCCUCCAUGUUGAGAAAAACUCCACAUAAAAGACACAGAAAAAAUGAAGGAUAAAUGUUGUUUUUACUGUGAGGUCAGAUGGCUGCAGGGAUUUAGAGACUCUAUCUGCCUCGCCUAAACUCAACCUCCUGUGGGACGUCUGUUCAACCUUAAUCGAUAACACAAGCACUUUAGGAGUGUAAACGACCAAUGAAGAAGUGACUCUCAAUAGACCGCGUUCCCAUCUUCCUGCGACGUCACUCAUACCCGAGAUUUCCACUGUUCCGGAACGGCUCAGAUUUUUUGCAGUACACCAAUUCCUACAGGAUCCAUUGGUGAGGCAAAUUUUGUACCUCUAGACUUCUAGAUUCAGCAUCUCCUCAUCCAUGGUGUCAUCAGGAUGAAAUGCUGUCUAUAAACCUUUCUUUUGUUCGUCCUCGCUUGUUUGCAUGGUGUGAAAUAUGAUCCGCCUAAAACACAGAAUGUUUUACUUUGUGUCUGUGCCCAACUUCCUUUCCAGCAUGGCUAAUCUGUGCUGAAUUUAUCUGGCACGCUCUGGCGUCCGGAAAAAAUAGAACUCUUGCGAUCAGCUGCAGAGUCCGGCGAUCUGGCGGAAUUUUCCCUUUAGGCUGAGAAACUGGAACCGUUAAUCUACACAGAGCAGAUAUCAUCAGACAGGAAGUCAAGUACAAGCAGGAUAUAGUGAAUCUGGUAAAUUUCAAAAUAAAACACCAUAUACGGACUCCUAUCUGUUCAGAUCAUGUAGAUGAGAAAUACUUUCAGAUUAUGGAUUAAUCAAUAAAACAGAACAACUCCAUUUCCUAUCCCUGUGGACCACAACAAGACUUUUAGCUGCUAACAGAAAGGUAAAGCAACCUGUUGUGAGUCUGUUGUCUUUUGUAUACUGAGUCCAGCUUCCCAGGCUGCACUACGCUGCUGCUAUGCUACUGCUGCUACCCUCCUGUUACGCUGUUACGUUUCCUCUGGAGGUGUUCAUGUCCAUGCUGCUGGUUUUUUACAUUUCCUACCAUAUGAUGUUAAGUCUACAAGUCUAAUGUUAACAUGUGACUGCUCUUAUUCUGCUGCAUUUCUAAAUUUAAAGACUUCUCUGAGCUUAUUUAAAAAACUCAGAGCUAAAUCCAUAUACUACAUUGUCUUAACUUUUUGAAUCUCUAUUUUAACGCUCAUAGUCAUGUUCCUGCUUUACACCCCUCUGGAUUCACACAUGUGGCCUUUAGAUACUUUUUCAAAGACACUCAAGGUGAGGCUGCAGCUGCUUACCACCAGGGGGCAGCAUGAGGCAAGAAUCCCUGAUAUCAGGCCUACGAUGGCUGGAGGAUCUCUCUGCUGUUUCCUCAUUUCUUUAGAUUUUAUUGAUAUUGUUUUAUUGAUUUCAAAUUAAACAUUUCAUAAGGAGAGAGGUUAUGGAGAAUGUCACCAUAAAUAAGCAAAACCUACGGUCAAUUAUUAGUGGGAACAAUGUGUUAAGGCACCAUUUCCGAGUUUAGAAAAAGUGUGUUGUUGUGCUCUUGUGUUGACAUGCCGUUGUGUUGUUCUGUGCUACAGAUGCUCUAUUGUUUAGGGUAACAUUGAUGCGUUGUUGGCUGAAUUGUUAGCAGAUAAAAAAACAAUACUAUACUGACAACUGGGUGAGAGAGACAGAGAGAGAGGGAGAGGCAGCAGAAAGAGUCUGUGCUGCUUUCAGAGAGCAGGAAGUUUUAAAACCAGUUUCCAUUUGAGUUAAUAUGGUGACUAGAGGGCAGAACUUAUUCAAUACAACGGUGUGAUCAGCUUUAUUAUUUUGGGACAACCCUUAAGGAAAACAUGACUCUGAAAGCACAUUUUAAUAGAAUAUGUUUCUCAGUAUCUUUCCAGUUAUGUUCAUAUAGUGUGGUAUAAUGGGUCAGUUCUAUAUUUGCAACAAUAUGCAGACAAACCAAAUCAGAUCACAGUACUGAAAAUGAGUGCAUUCAAACAGCCAUUGUAAUAUUGUAUUUUAUUUUCACAUGUGUUAAAGGUUUUUGGAGCUCCAGAAAGAAAAUAUUAAAAUAUGAAAAUAUUCUUGCAGCUGUAGAAAUGUUUUGCUUAAUCUUGAAACAAAGUUUUGCACAAACAUAUUCACUGUAUUUUGCGAAAUUUGGAGCUGUUGAAAAAAGUGCACUGACUAUUUCUGCAGCUCUGAAACUUUUUUUACAUUUUAACUCACAAUUAGACUCUACGGUGGCCGAGAACCGCCACUGCUGCUGCAAAAAACAAAACAAAACAAUGGAAGCUACCAAUAAGAAAAAAAAAGAAACUGAAGCCUGCUGCAUAUAAAAAAAGAAACGGUACAGAUUAAAAAAAAAAAGCCACAACAGAAGUUUAAGAUGUAAAAAAAGUGGCGAUGCAAAAAAAAAAAAAAGUUACUCAAUGCAAAAAUAAAAGAAUGCAAAUAAAAAAAGCCACAAUGGAAGAUAGCUGCCGGGGACCAAUAAUGAUGAUGCACCGGUGUUUUACGAUCUAGACACAGAAGACGACAGCAAGAAGACGAGCAAAGAGGUAAGUGGAAAGGUUAUUGUUUAAUUUCCCUUUAUAUGCUUUUCAGUGUGUCAUUUGGUUAGGCCAUGUCAAUAUGAAGUUGAACUGGAGCCAACACUACCCCAGCAUCAUCCAGUUCAACUUCAAAACACCAGUGCAUCAUCAUUAUUGAUCCCUGGCAGCUCAGUACUGUUGUUGCUUUUUUAUUUGCAUCCUUUUAUUAUGCAGUAAGUAGCUUUUUUUUCCAUCGCCACUUUUUUUUGCGCCGUUAACUUCCUUUGUGGCUUUUUUUAUCUGUUCUGUUUCUUUUUCUUCCUUGCAGUGGACUUCAGUUUCUUUCUUUCUUUCUUUUUUUUUUUUUUUUUUGCAUUGGUAACUUCCAUCGUGGCUUCUUUUUUCUAGCAGCAGCAGCAGCAGUGGUGGUUCUCAGCCCCUGAAAGACUCAUUAAUGGAAACUGCUCCUGAUUUCAACAGAGGUUUGUCUGAGAAGAGAAUUAACUUUGAAUUAACACAGUUUCUCUUAAUUGCAGCAGUGAAACAUUUUUAUUUGUCUUGAGAUUUUUCUGCAUUUCAGAUGUUUAUGUGAGUGAAACGUGGUCUGCACAGCGGCCCCUCUGCAGCAGAUGAGAGCUCCAGUUAGGAAAUGUGUGGUGAACUUCCAUUAACAAUAAUUGAGCCCCUCUCCAGUGAGAUGCUGACAGGGAGGGGUGUGUUGUUAUUAAAAUGCCUUCUCCUCUAAUGUGCAGGUAAGGACCCCUUCACGGUCGCUUCUCACCAGGCCCGCUGCCAGGACCGUCUCUCGCUUUUAAGUGAGCACCUUCAUUGAGACAGAUUUAGCUCAAUUAAACCGUUUUACCUCUGCCAGGAGUGUUUCAGAGCAUCGCUGCUGCUGAGCGGCCUUUUCAAUUAGCAGCAGUGAGCAGAUUCAGCAGCGAUCCUAUUACUGUACGGCUUUGAGACUGACUGUGAAAACCGUAAACAUCACUUCUAAUGUCCUUAAUGGAGAUCGAGGAGGCUGUUAACACUUUAGAGCACGAGUAAACAAACAGACGGACCGCUGAUUAAAUAUGUGCAUAAAUACAGUAAAGAAUGGGAUUCAGGUUUGAUCAUGGUGAUGCUGCUGUUUGUAAGAUGACUCCUGAUCUGUGUUGAUUUCACAGCAAUGGUUCAUUAUUUCCUAACAACUCACUGUUGCUAUGGAUGCACCUGUAAUUACAGUCUAUGCUUGGCUCACUGUAAUUGUCCUGUCGUCCAGGCUGUAAACAUGCAUAUCUGCUGUAAAAUUGGAUGUUUGAACUUUUCGAAAAACCUCUAAAAAUAAAAAGGUAACAUGUGAUUGGAC